GACGAGCCACCCAAACGUUAUUCGGAAUUACUGGGCUUAAAAGGGUGCGUAGGCGGUGCGGAAAGUAGGGUGUGAAAGACCUCGGCUCAACCGAGGAAUGGCGCUCUAAACUACCGUGCUUGAGGGAGAUAGAGGUAAGCGGAACUUCGGGUGGAACGGUGAAAUGUGUUGAUAUCCGAAGGAACACCGGUGGCGAAAGCGGCUUACUGGAUCUUCUCUGACGACUGA
rnacentral:rRNA from 1 species